UGGUCCGGAGAUGCGUAAGUAUUUCCGGAGGUGAUUUUAGAUGGUCGGGCCGCCAUCU
rnacentral:ncRNA from 1 species